rnacentral:sRNA from 1 species
GAAGAAUGAAGUGUAUAUGUGGAUAGCUAUUUUUGGAUAGUUUUCUAUUGAUUCUAGGGUACCUGUAUCCAAUUGGUUAGGUUAUUGCUUAUUAAUUUUAUCUUUUAGAUUUGAAGAUAAAAUUCAAGAUAUUAUUAAAACAUUUCUUUUUCAUUUCCAGGAAGCUGUGUUUUCACUAGUUGGUAAAAAGAUUAUUGAAGAUUGUUUAAAUGGCUACAAUGGAUCCAUAUUAGCUUAUGGCCAGACUGGCUCAGGAAAAAGUUUUACUAUGUUUGCAUGGCAGUAAAAAACAGUUUUUGUGGCACUGCUCUUUUUUAGAAAUCUAUCAAGAGCAAAUCUUUGAUCUUUUGGAUACAGCUUCACAAGGUAUUCGCUUACGUGAGAAUAUGAACAAAGGUG